rnacentral:rRNA from 1 species
AUUGAACGCUGGCGGCAGGCUUAACACAUGCAAGUCGAGCGGGGUGAUGGUGCUUGCACUAUCACUUAGCGGCGGACGGGUGAGUAAUGCUUAGGAAUCUGCCUAUUAGUGGGGGACAACAUCUCGAAAGGGAUGCUAAUACCGCAUACGUCCUACGGGAGAAAGCAGGGGAUCACUUGUGACCUUGCGCUAAUAGAUGAGCCUAAGUCGGAUUAGCUAGUUGGUGGGGUAAAGGCCUACCAAGGCGACGAUCGGUAGCGGGGGUGAGAGGAUGAUCCGCCACACUGGGACUGAGACACGGCCCAGACUCCUACGUGAGGGAGCAGUGGGGAAUAUUGGACAAUGGGGGGAACCCUGAUCCAGCCAUGCCGCGUGUGUGAAGAAGGCCUUAUGGUUGUAAAGCACUUUAAGCGAGGAGGAGGCUCUUUUGGUUAAUACCCAAGAUGAGUGGACGUUACUCGCAGAAUAAGCACCGGCUAACUCUGUGCCAGCCGCCGCCGUAACAC